rnacentral:rRNA from 1 species
AGUUGGUGGAGUGAUUUGUCUGCUUAAUUGCGAUAACGAACGAGACCUUAACCUACUAAAUAGCUGAACGAAGCGCCAGCUUCGGCGAAGCUUCUUAGAGGGACAAUGCGAGCCAAUCGUAUGGAAGACUGAGGCAAUAACAGG